rnacentral:misc_RNA from 1 species
GCCUGAGCCUGAGCCUGAGCCGGAGCCGGAGCGGGAGCGGGAGCAUUCUUGGAAUAACCAAUUUCCUCCCAUCUCCGCCGAGACGAUGGCCUUGGUAGGUUCUCUGGCACAAUGGUCUCUAGUGCAUUAAGACGCCAGGGAGGGCACAUUCUUCUGUCGCUCCAUCUGUGACCCUUCGGUAUCUGCUUUGAUUCUACGAGUGACAAUCGCAAAUCUUGGGCCGUGGCAAGAUUUCCUUGGCUCGCCAAAUCCAUUUCAAGCCCAAUUAUGAUGCAGGCCAUGCCCAGUACACAUUGGCUUCUCCAUUUCUCGUUCUUAAACCUUUAAACCGUAAAAUUAAUAAAAUUGUAUGUGUAUGUAGAGAUUUUGUACAUAAAUUAUUAAAAAAGAGUGGUUAAAAAAGAGUUGGUUGAAGGAUCUUGACUUACCAUGCAACUUCAGUAUUCUUUGUAUUGGAAGAGGCCUGGAGGCUUGAAGGACGAGAGGUUGGAGUUGGAGGGGGAAGAUUGAGGCAGCAACUGGCAGCAAUAGCCAUAUUCUAUGUUUCUGUAACCUUUCGUUGAAGUAGAGGGGCCUCUAGCCUCUCUCUCACUAUUUUAAGGUUCAAGUAAAAAAUAUUGGGAGACACAGAGAUGGGCUUCAAAUUUGUUGUAUAAAUAACUUUAAAGACCAAACCCAAUAGACCUUAGGGUAUACAGGAAGGAAGGUUUGUUUUCUUUCUGGGGUUGGUCAAGUCGG